UGGGGAAUAUUGCACAAUGGGCGCAAGCCUGAUGCAGCCAUGCCGCGUGUAUGAAGAAGGCCUUCGGGUUGUAAAGUACUUUCAGCGGGGAGGAAGGGAGUAAAGUUAAUACCUUUGCUCAUUGACGUUACCCGCAGAAGAAGCACCGGCUAACUCCGUGCCAGCAGCCGCGGUAAUACGGAGGGUGCAAGCGUUAAUCGGAAUUACUGGGCGUAAAGCGCACGCAGGCGGUUUGUUAAGUCAGAUGUGAAAUCCCCGGGCUCAACCUGGGAACUGCAUCUGAUACUGGCAAGCUUGAGUCCCGUAGAGGGGGGUAGAAUUCCAGGUGUAGCGGUGAAAUGCGUAGAGAUCUGGAGGAAUACCGGUGGCGAAGGCGGCCCCCUGGACGAAGACUGACGCUCAGGUGCGAAAGCGUGGGGAGCAAACAGG
rnacentral:rRNA from 2 species